AACGGACGCUGGCGGCAUGCCUAACACAUGCAAGUCGAACGAGACCUUCGGGUCUAGUGGCGCACGGGUGCGUAACGCGUGGGAACCUGCCCUUAGGUUCGGAAUAACUCCCCGAAAGGGGUGCUAAUACCGGAUAAUGUCUUCGGACCAAAGAUUUAUCGCCUUUGGAUGGGCCCGCGUUGGAUUAGCUAGUUGGUAGGGUAAAAGCCUACCAAGGCGACGAUCCAUAGCUGGUCUGAGAGGAUGAUCAGCCACACUGGGACUGGGACACGGCCCAGACUCCUACGGGAGGCAGCAGUGGGGAAUAUUGGACAAUGGGCGAAAGCCUGAUCCAGCAAUGCCGCGUGAGUGAUGAAGGCCUUAGGGUUGUAAAGCUCUUUUACCCGGGAUGAUAAUGACAGUACCGGGAGAAUAAGCUCCGGCUAACUCCGUG
rnacentral:rRNA from 1 species